CAGCAGCAGCCGCGGGAAUACGAAGGUCCCGAGCGUUGUUCGGAAUCACUGGGCGUAAAGGGAGCGUAGGCGGCGUGGUAAGUCAGAUGUGAAAUCCCGGGGCUCAACCCCGGAACUGCAUCCGAUACUGCCAUGCUAGAGGAUUGGAGAGGUAGCUGGAAUUCUUGGUGUAGCAGUGAAAUGCGUGGAGAUCAAGAGGAACACUCGUGGCGAAAGCGAGCUACUGGACAAUAACUGACGCUGAGGCUCGAAGGCCAGGGUAGCGAAAGGGAUUAGAUACCCGUGUAGUCCCUGUCUCUUAUAC
rnacentral:rRNA from 1 species